UCAGGCUCAAACCAUCGGCCUAAAAUACUUAAACUCACUUAUUAUUAUCAGGGUCUAUGAUUUCUUAUGUAGUGGGUAUCACAAACAGUAGCAAUAAUAACUCGUAGGGUCCAAAUCACCGGCCCAAAUUACUUAAGUCUAGUUAUUAUUAUUAUUAGGGUCCAUGAUCUCUUGUAUAGUUAUAUAUCUAAUCACAAUUCCGUUUCCAUCCAAUGUGGGACCAUUGGGUAUCACAGUAGCAAUAAUAACAAAUUGGCCCCAAAAUACUUAUAUAAACCCGGUUAUUAUCAUUAGGGUCCAUGAUCUCUUAUAUAUUAUUUUCAAUCCCAAUUUCUUUUCCGUCCCAUGUGAGACUAUUGGGGCAUCACAAACUCCCGCAGUUUCUGACGUCUUUGUCAGCCCAAUUACACACACAACCCAAGACUCUCCUUAUUUAGGUCUGACAUCCUUAUCAACCCAAUCACAUAUACAAUCCACCAUUUAGGCUCUGAAGUCCUUGUCAGCCUAAUCACACACAAAACCCACGGCUCUCCUUAUUUAAGUCUGACAUCCUUGUCCGGUUAGUGAAUUUGCUCUAAUAACAAAUAUAACGACCCGACCUGCUAACAAUAAUAGCUUGUUCCCAAACCACCAGUCCAAAAUACUUAAGCCGGUUAUUAUUAUUAGAAUCUUUGGUCAUUUGUAUAUCCAGUUCCAUUCCCAUU
rnacentral:lncRNA from 1 species